UCUCGGCAACGGAUAUCUCGGCUCUCGCAUCGGAUGAAGACGCAGCGAAAUGCGAUACCUGGUGUGAAUUGCAGAAUCCCGCGAACCAUCGAGUCUUUGAACGCAAGUUGCGCCCGAGGCCAUUCGGCCGAGGGCACGCCUGCCUGGGCGUCACGCAAAACACGCUC
rnacentral:rRNA from 1 species